AGUAGACUUGAGAGGCGCGGGAAUACUACCGUGGCGUCAGGUGAUCAAUUUUCAUAACGGCAAGGAAAGUUGUGUGAGUGCGCCACACCAGAUUUUAUAAUUUGGCACAUAAUGCUCAUUAUCUACUAAGGUGUAGAUAUAGUUUCGUGAAAAUGUUCUUUAAUUCUCCGAAAACUCGGCAAUAAAUUGUCGAAACUAAUUUACCCCGUCAAGUAAAAUAUUAAAUUUUUCCUAUUUCUGGUAGAACCUCUCAUGAAACAACAAUCCAUAAGGCAAUAUUAUUCAGAAUAGGUUUCUGCUCAAGUAUAUGACGAAGAAGAAGAUAUUUUAUUUUCAAGCAUUUGGUAUUUUUAAUUUUUCAAUCAAAGAGAAAAAGAAUACAUACAAAUUUUGAUUACGAGGACCUUAUUUCUCGUACAAUAACUUCAGUGAAUUAAAACAAAACAUUAAAUGAAAUGAUAGCAAGCAGUUCGUAAUGGAAACCAACAUUGAGGAAAUUAUUUAUUUCAUUAAAAUUAUUACUAAAUAGAUGUUUUUUUCCACGUGGUGAAUUCGAAACAUAUGCUUUUCAAAGGGGAAGUCUAUAGUGACUGUGGUAGGUAGGUAGUGAAAUUCGAGAAACGGGAAGUCCAACAGUUUAGAACGUUGUCUCUGUCUCUCUAUUAUGCCACACUGAAUCACACACUCUCUCUCUCACACACACACACACACCCCUAAACUUUCUAUUCUCUACAGAUCCAACCACCAUUUUCUCUUUUUGAAAAAGUCAACUAUUCUGGUGCUGGUAUUCGUUCGUCUUCAGUUCAUUUGCCUCUUCACAACGUUUAGAAGUAGCAUCGCGCUAAUUUCGAGAUUGAUUUCUGAGAUUGUAAUAAAAUUGGCAGAUAGAUUUAGAUAAAUAGAUAGGCUUAGUAAUAGAUUUUUGAGUUGAUAGGUUUGAUAAAUAGGGAAUUGAUUAAUAGAGAGUAGAUUAGGUAGUUCAUUGAGUUUCUGUCAGUUACCGUAUUGUAUCUGUUGUGUUUCUGCGGUGACUGCGUCUGUUCACUGUUCAGGAGGAAUUCUUACAUAAACUUGGAGGAGGCAAUGUGGAGACGCCGCUCGUCCGGCUGACAACGAAUGAAGUUGCCACCAACUUCUGCAGGGAAGGCGGGAAAGGGAAGAGGUCCCUAAACAGCCUUCUGAUAAACAAAAUUCUGGAGAAAGUUGUUGCUGCGUCUCUGGAGAUUUCAUGAGCAAGCUGUUUGAAACCAGGGUGUAAGAGUGGCUCCGGCAGGCUUGGACCAGAAUGUAAUUUAUUAAAAACUUCAAAAAAUAAUUGAAUUAACUAGAAUCUAUUUGUCACGUUCCAUGAGAUUGUAGUGGAAUAAAAAUGUAUUUUCAAGUUGUA
rnacentral:lncRNA from 1 species